UUUUUUGAAUGUUACAUUACCAAUAGGUUGUGGUCGAGAAUUUGUGUGUGGCUGGGACACUCCAGGACCAUUGACUGCUGGGACAAUGAGGUACACUGGAUUUGUAGCAAGGCUAAAAGCAAGCAGUGGCAGAAUGCUAUCACAACUGCUACUUUUGUGACCACUACUGCAAUCAUUUGGAGGGAAAGGAAUCAUAUUCGAUUUGAAGGAGCAGACUUUGUAUAGGAUUUGACAUGCAGAGAAAUUGCAUUACUCCUACACCUUAGAGGCAGAAACUGCAAGAACUGGCAGAUUGGAUUGAGCAAGUUAAACUGUUUCCC
rnacentral:lncRNA from 1 species